CUACAUGGAUAUGUUGCAUAGUGGUGAAGUCUGGGCUUUUAUUGUAAAUGCCACCCAGAUAGGGUAUAUCACACCCAUUAGGUAGUUUCUCAUCCCUCACCAUGCUCCCACUUUUCUCAGUCUCCAGUGUCUAUUAUUUAACUAUGUUCAUGUGUACACAUUGUUUAUGUCUCAGUUCUAAGUGAGAACAUGCGGUAUUUAGUUUUUGGCUUCUGAGUUAGUUAACUUAAGGCCCUUCAAUUCCACCCAUGUUGCUGCAAAAAACACAAUUUCAUUUCUUUUUGUGGCUGAGUAGUAUUCCAUGGUGUAUAUAUACCAUAUUUUCUUUAUCCACUCAUCUGUUGAUGGGCGCUUAGAUUGAUUCAAUAUCUUUGCUGUUGUGAAUAGUAUUAGUAAUUUUAAAUAGUGGUGGGACAAAGCCCAUUAGGAAGAGUUCCUUUGAGGGGUUUCCAGAGUCAAUUAACAGGACAGAGAAUAGCAGGCACUUCAUUUGUAACAGGAGAAGGUAUCACUGGGUUUCACAGAGCUCGUAACAGAAACGACACUGCCAGCUACUUUAGGGCAGGUGGUAGGAGAUGACAGCCAGGUUCUUCCCAUAGGCCACAAAAUGACAAUUGCUGUCUCUAAAAUGGCCAACUUGAGUGGACUCUUCUCCCUCAUUCCUCAUAGUAAGUGAAAACUUCAUUUCUUUUCUUUCUUUCUUUCUUUUUUCUGGUGGUAGUGGUGGUUGUAGGACCUCUGAGGGGCGAUUCUUUUUUUUUUCUUUUCUUUUUUUUUAUGAGAUGGAGUCUUGCUCUGUUGCCCAGACUGGAGUGCAGUGGCAUGAUCUUGGCUCAGGGCAACCUCCGCCUCCCAGGUUCAAAUGAUUCUCCUGCCUCAGCCUCCCAAGUAGCUGGGAUUACAGGCAUGCACAACCAUGCCUGGCUAAUUUUUGUAUUUUUAGUAGAGACAGGGUUUCACCAUGUUGGCCAGGCUGGUCAUGAACUCCUGACCUCAAGGGAUCCACCCGCCUCAGCCUCCCAUAGUGCUGGGAUUACAGGCGUGAACCACCACGCCUGGCCUCUUUUUCAGAGGUUAGUGAAAGUGCUUAUCUGAUACUUGCCUUAUUAGCUAUGUAUGUUAAGUAUUAGGCAAACUUGCCAAGUCCACGUGGAUAGCCAUAUUAAGUCUAAAGACUUAACACAGAUCUAGGUGCAGAGAAGUACAUGUGGGGCAGAGAACUAGACCUGGAAGAACCCACACAGGCACAUUCCUUUGCCUCGAGGCUGCUUGGAGAAGUAUCAGCCUAGUCUAGGAAACCUGAAAACCUAAAAAACACAACUGUAAGACUUUCUCUGUUUGUUUUUAAUGUUUUUCUGAUUAGAAUGGAGAAGUUAUCCAAAUAUCACAUUACAGUAAGUUCUAAUGAUCUGUAGUUUAUCCGUGGAGAUGGCAUUAAUUAUUGGCAUAUUAAGACAAUGUGUGAGUUUGAAAAUCAUUGAGUAUCUGUGGCAAUUCCUGUAGAAAUAAAUAUGAGGAAAAUCUGACCUUAAAAUUUUAAAAACCUUAAAAUUUGAGAGUUAGUUUAUCCACAGAAUUUUUUUUUUUUUUUUUUUUUUUUGAGAUAGGGUCUUGUUCUGUCACCCAAGCUGGAGUGCAGUGGCGUGAUCUUGGCUCACUGCAACCUCUGCCUCCUGGGUUCAAGCAAUUCUCUGCCUCAGCCUCCCAGGUAGCUGGGAUUACAGGUGCCCACCACCAUGCCUGGCUAAUUUUUUUUUUGUAUUUUUAGUAGAGAUGGGGUUUCACCAUCUUGGCCAGCUGGUCUUGAACUUCUGACCUCGUGAUUCACCAGCCUGGGCCUCCCAAAGUGCUGGGAUUAUAAGCGUGAGCCACCACGCCUGGCCAACAUUUUUCUUUUGGUCUUAUUUUCUUUAAACUAUAGAAGAUGCAUGUUGAUCUGGGCUUGAAUUUCAAAUGGCUCUCUUUCUAUGUAAACCCAAUUUUCUUACAAAAAUAAAAACCUCUAAUUUCACAUGGUCAAACCAAUACUUACCUUCAGAUAUGAUGAAAUAUGAAAGUUAACCAAGGUAGCAUCUAUAAAGACCGAUGCAAGGCCUGGAGCCCAGUAGGUACUUAGGUCCAUCUCACCUCUAUGAAUAUACAUUUUUGGGGGCUCUGUGGUUAGGAUAGUCUUAGUUUCAUGUUAUUAUAUGAUGCUUUUGAGAGGUAAUUUUGU
rnacentral:lncRNA from 1 species